rnacentral:misc_RNA from 1 species
GGAAGGAUCAUUACUGAUGAAGAUGGUAAGAUGGAUUUGAAAGAGUCCAUCCUAUUAUACAUUUGUGCUUGUACUGUUUGACAGAGUAACGAUGAGUUUUUUGACAACUUUUAACAAUGGAUCUCUUGGCUCUUGCAACGAUGAAGAACGCAGUCAAGUGCGAUAUUUAGUGCGAUUUGCAUGAAUCUGUGAGUCAUCGAGUCUUUGAACGCAACUUGCGCCCUUCUGGGGCAUGUCUGUUUGAGCAUCAAUAAACCAAAUGCAAGCUUAUUGCGAGGUGCUAGUCCAGUAUGGUCUGGUGGAAUGUAGAAAUAUAUCACGUGUUGGAUGGUGACUUGAAGCCAGAGACGCGCAAGUCUAAAGACGCAAGUCCUUAUUCAAGUGUCUUGUUCAAGUCUCCAACUCCUAACACAUACCUCCACUGAUCUCAAAUCAGGCAAGAUUACCCGCUGAACUUAAGCAUAUCAGUAAGCGGAGGAAAAGAAACUAACAAGGAUUCCCCUAGUAAUGGCGAAUGAAGCGGGAAUAGCUCAAAGUUUAAAUCUCGACGGUUUCCGUCGCGAAUUGUAGUCUAAAGAAGGUAAUCUAUGUAUGAACAAGUAUCCAAGUUCCUUGGGAUAGGACGCCAGAGAGGGUGAGAGCCCCGUAACGAUGAUUGAUUCAUGCAAGUAUGAGAGCCUUUCGACGAGUCGAGUUGUUUGGGAAUGCAGCUCAAAGUGGGUGGUAAAUCUCAUCUAAGGCUAAAUAUUGGCAAGAGACCGAUAGCGAACAAGUACCGUGAGGGAAAGAUGAAAAGCACCUUGAAAAGGGAGUUAAACAGUGCGUGAAAUUGUUAAAAGGGAAGCGAUUGAGAUCAGUGUUGGUGGAGAGGGUUGGUCUGUUGGGUAUUUUGCUCUGCGGAAGCUACCAUCUUUACCGAGUCAAUGUCAGUUGAGUUUGCUGGACAAGUAUUAUAGGAAGAUGGGGUCAAGCUUUUGGUUUGGCUCUUUAUAGACUAUGAUGGCUACAGUAGAGAUGACUGGAAGGGGGAGGUGACGUGUGGGGAUAGUGUAGAGUGAUGGCUAGGAUAAACAACAUGUUGAUUAUUCUAAUUUCACUUUCCAUCUUCCCAUCCCUAACCUCUCACGAUUGACAAAAUGGUCUUAAACGACCCGUCUUGAAACACGGACCAAGGAGUCUAACAAUGUUGCGAGCAUUAUGGUGGCAAACCAAAGAUGCAGAAUAAAAGUAAAAACCUGUCAGCCAUUCAUUUGGUGGUGCAGCAGGGACCGGCCGUGUUCAUUUUACGGACCGAGUACGAGUAGGAUUGUUGGGACCCGAAAGGCGGUGAACUAUGCCUGAUUAGGGCAAAGUCAGAGGAAACUCUGAUGGAGGCUCGUAGCCGUUCUGACGUGCAAAUCGAUGGUAAAAAUUGGGUAUAGGGGCGAAAGACUAAUCGAACCGCCUAGUAGCUGGUUCCCUC